AUUGAACGCUGGCGGCAGGCCUAACACAUGCAAGUCGAACGGAGUGGCGAACGGGUGAGUAACACGUGGGUGACCUGCCCUGCACUUCGGGAUAAGCCUGGGAAACUGGGUCUAAUACCGGAUAGUGUGGGAUGGGCCCGCGGCCGAUCGGCUUGUUGGUGGGGUAAUGGCCUACCAAGGCGGCGACGGGUAGCCGGCCUGGGAGGGGAGACGGCCACAUUGGGCCUGAGACACGGACCAGAAGCGAACGGGAGGCAGUGGUGGGGAGUCUGGCACAAUGGGCGGAAGGCUGAUGAAGCGACGCCGCGUGGGGGAGGACGGCCUUCGGGUUGUAAACUCCUUUCACCAUCGACGCGGUAGAUGGAGAAGAAGCACCGGCUAACUACGUGCCAGCAGCCGCGGUAAUUC
rnacentral:rRNA from 1 species